rnacentral:misc_RNA from 1 species
GACAAAUACAAAAUAGGAAUUGAUCCCCUUACUCAGCCACUUAAGACCAAUUUGUGAUCAAAGGAGCAAACCUAUUGGCCGGGAGCACAGUGGAAGCAGAAAUCCUGGCUAAGGAUAGCAAUUUCAAAACUUUACACAAGCAAUUCAUCAAACAGAUCACAUGCAUUAUGCUAAUAAAGAAUCUCAUGCAAAUAUGACCAAAACAAUCACAACACUUGUGUUGGGCAAUUGCUAUCAACCCAAUUUUGAAUUAGGAAGCUAACAAAUUGAAGAAUCAUACAAGGUACAGGAGUUAUACCCCUGAAGUGUGGAAACACAUUCAUCCCUCACGCAACCUAAAUUGAGACUUUUAAGUGUGAACCCUAUAAUCUAUCCACACAAACCAAGUGAUUGAGAUACUCUAAACUCUUAAAUAGAACCCGUCCAUUGAGACACCUCUCUUGGCUGAUCCACAUGAGCAAGGGUGAGGUUUUUCAACUUUUGGAGAAAACCUAUGGAUGUAGGAACUCUUCCUAUGGGUUAAAGAAAGAGACUCUCUUUAUCACUAAAAAAAGCAAGAAAAAUAAUUAGGGAGUAACAAAUUCAAAUUUCUCCCAUGUUUGCUAGAAGAAAUAGGUAGAAAAAUAAGAAGAAAUGGAGGAUUUCAUGGCUUCAAAAAUUGGUUGAGAGAUUCCAUUAACUGUCUAUCUUGCCAUUUAAUACAUGAGCUAAUAACUUCCUUAAGAAGCUUUGGAUCAUAAGGCCACUGUGC